UACAUAGGGAGCAAGCGUUAUCCGGAAUGAUUGGGCGUAAAGCGUCUGUAGGUGGUUCAAAAGUCUACUGUCAAAUACGUUGGCUCAACCAACGGCAGGCAUUAGAGUACUAUUGAACUAGAGUGUGGUAGAGGUAGAGGGAAUCCUAGCGUAACAGUGAAAUGUGUAGAUUUUAGGGAGAACACCAGCGGCGAAGGCGCUCUACUGGGCCAUUACUGACACUGAGAGACGAAAGCUAAGGGAGCGAAAGG
rnacentral:rRNA from 1 species